AGUGAACGCUGGCGGUAGGCCUAACACAUGCCAGUCGAACGGCAGCACAGUAAGAGCUUGCUCUUACGGGUGGCGAGUGGCGGACGGGUGAGGAAUACAUCGGAAUCUACUUUUUCGUGGGGGAUAACGUAGGGAAACUUACGCUAAUACCGCAUACGACCUACGGGUGAAAGCAGGGGAUCUUCGGACCUUGCGCGAUUGAAUGAGCCGAUGUCGGAUUAGCUAGUUGGCGGGGUAAAGGCCCACCAAGGCGACGAUCCGUAGCUGGUCUGAGAGGAUGAUCAGCCACACUGGAACUGAGACACGGUCCAGACUCCUACGGGAGGCAGCAGUGGGGAAUAUUGGACAAUGGGCGCAAGCCUGAUCCAGCCAUACCGCGUGGGUGAAGAAGGCCUUCGGGUUGUAAAGCCCUUUUGUUGGGAAAGAAAAGCAGCAGGUUAAUACCCCGCUGUGCUGACGGUACCCAAAGAAUAAGCACCGGCUAACUUCGUG
rnacentral:rRNA from 1 species